CAAUAGCGUAUAUUAAAGUUGUUGCAGUUAAAAAGCUCGUAGUUGGAUUUCGGGGUGGCCUGCCUGGUCCACCGCAAGGUGAGUACUGGUCAGCCGCCCUUCCUCUCGAAAGCCCCGACUGCUCUUCAUUGCAGUGGUCGGGUAGUUCGGGACGUUUACUUUGAAAAAAUUAGAGUGUUCAAGGCAGGCUAUCGCCUGAAUACAUUAGAAUGGAAUAAUGGAAGAGGACCUCGGUCCUAUUUUGUUGGUUUCUAGGGCCGAAGUAAUGAUUAAGAGGGACAGUUGGGGGCAUUCGUAUUUAAUUGUCAGAGGUGAAAUUCUUGGAUUUAUGAAAGACGAACUAGUGCGAAAGCAUUUGCCAAGGAUGUUUUCAUUAA
rnacentral:rRNA from 1 species